GUCGGUUGGCCCCACUGCCGGGUUAAAAGGGAAGCCGGUGCAAAACCGGCGCUGCCCCCGCAACUGUAAGCGAAGAGACGUUUUUCCCCAUCCAUGCCACUGGAAAACCGGGAAGGCUUGAAAAUCGUCCAUGACUCGCAAGCCAGGAGACCUGCCGACCGG
rnacentral:ncRNA from 1 species